AGUGAACGCUGGCGGUAGGCCUAACACAUGCAAGUCGAACGGCAGCACAGGAGAGCUUGCUCUCUGGGUGGCGAGUGGCGGACGGGUGAGGAAUACAUCGGAAUCUACUUUUUCGUGGGGGAUAACGUAGGGAAACUUACGCUAAUACCGCAUACGACCUACGGGUGAAAGCAGGGGACCUUCGGGCCUUGCGCGAUUGAAUGAGCCUAUGUCGGAUUAGCUAGUUGGCGGGGGAAAGGCCCACCAAGGCGACGAUCCGUAGCUGGUCUGAGAGGAUGAUCAGCCACACUGGAACUGAGACACGGUCCAGACUCCUACGGGAGGCAGCAGUGGGGAAUAUUGGACAAUGGGCGCAAGCCUGAUCCAGCCAUACCGCGUGGGUGAAGAAGGCCUUCGGGUUGUAAAGCCCUUUUGUUGGGAAAGAAAUCCAGCUGGCUAAUACCCGGUUGGGAUGACGGUACCCAAAGAAUAAGCACCGGCUAACUUCGUGCCAGCCGCCGCUGUAA
rnacentral:rRNA from 1 species